AACGGCAACCGCUCUAUCGCUGGCAGAGCAAUCUGCGAGAGGAAAGUCCGGGCAGCACAGAGUCGCCAUACUUCCUAACGGGAAGGGGUGUGAACCUGCAAAGGCCACACUACAGAUAGUGCCGCAGAAAACAGACCGCCGGAGCAAUCCGGUAAGGGUGAAAACGCGAGGUAAGAGCUCACGACGGGCACAGUGAUGUGCCUGAUGGUAAACCUUAUGGGCUGAAAGACCAAAUAUACCGACAGUUAAGGGUUGACUCGCCCGUUGUCGGGGGGUAGGUUGAUAAAGGCAGCCGGCGACGGUUGUCUUAGAUUAAUGAUAGGGGGCCGCCUUUUGGCGGUUACAGAACCCGGCUUACAGGUUGCCGUUUCUU
rnacentral:RNase_P_RNA from 1 species